GUAAAACGGGGCGGCCCGCCGCAGGACCCAUAAACCCUGAAUUAAUAUUGUAACUUCUGAGUUUAAAAGGCAAAUAAAUCAAAACUUUCAACAAUGGAUCUCUUGGUUCUGGCAUCGAUGAAGAACGCAGCAAAAUGCGAUAAGUAAUGUGAAUUGCAGAAUUCAGUGAAUCAUCGAAUCUUUGAACGCACAUUGCGCCCGCCAGUAUUCUGGCGGGCAUGCCUGUUCGAGCGUCAUUUCAACCCUCAAGCCCCCGGGUUUGGUGUUGGGGAUCGAGCUGCGGUUCUGCCGCGUCCUGGCCCCGAAAUCUAGUGGCGGUCUCGCUGCAGCCUCCAUUGCGUAGUAGCUAACACUUCGCAACUGGAACGCGGCGCGGCCAAGCCGUUAAACCCCCAACUUCUGAAUGUGACCUCGGAUCAGGUAGAGCCCGGUUUCC
rnacentral:rRNA from 1 species